rnacentral:rRNA from 1 species
AUUGAACGCUGGCGGCAGGCCUAACACAUGCAAGUCGAGCGGUAGCACAGAGAGCUUGCUCUCGGGUGACGAGCGGCGGACGGGUGAGUAAUGUCUGGGAAACUGCCUGAUGGAGGGGGAUAACUACUGGAAACGGUAGCUAAUACCGCAUAAUGUCGCAAGACCAAAGUGGGGGACCUUCGGGCCUCAUGCCAUCAGAUGUGCCCAGAUGGGAUUAGCUAGUAGGUGGGGUAACGGCUCACCUAGGCGACGAUCCCUAGCUGGUCUGAGAGGAUGACCAGCCACACUGGAACUGAGACACGGUCCAGACUCCUACGGGAGGCAGCAGUGGGGAAUAUUGCACAAUGGGCGCAAGCCUGAUGCAGCCAUGCCGCGUGUGUGAAGAAGGCCUUCGGGUUGUAAAGCACUUUCAGCGGGGAGGAAGGCGAUAAGGUUAAUAACCUUGUCGAUUGACGUUACCCGCAGAAGAAGCACCGGCUAACUCCGUGCCAGCCGCCGCCGUAA